rnacentral:rRNA from 1 species
GAGUUUGAUCCUGGCUCAGGACGAACGCUGGCGGCGUGCCUAAUACAUGCAAGUAGAACGCUGAAGAGAGGAGCUUGCUCUUCUUGGAUGAGUUGCGAACGGGUGAGUAACGCGUAGGUAACCUGCCUUGUAGCGGGGGAUAACUAUUGGAAACGAUAGCUAAUACCGCAUAACAAUGGAUGACACAUGUCAUUUAUUUGAAAGGGGCAAUUGCUCCACUACAAGAUGGACCUGCGUUGUAUUAGCUAGUAGGUGAGGUAACGGCUCACCUAGGCGACGAUACAUAGCCGACCUGAGAGGGUGAUCGGCCACACUGGGACUGAGACACGGCCCAGACUCCUACGGGAGGCAGCAGUAGGGAAUCUUCGGCAAUGGGGGCAACCCUGACCGAGCAACGCCGCGUGAGUGAAGAAGGUUUUCGGAUCGUAAAGCUCUGUUGUAAGUCAAGAACGAGUGUGAGAGUGGAAAAUUCACACUGUGACGGUAGCUUACCAGAAAGGGACGGCUAACUACGUGCCAGCAGCCGCGGUAAUACGUAGGUCCCGAGCGUUGUCCGGAUUUAUUGGGCGUAAAGCGAGCGCAGGCGGUUUGAUAAGUCUGAAGUUAAAGGCUGUGGCUCAACCAUAGUUCGCUUUGGAAACUGUCAAGCUUGAGUGCAGAAGGGGAGAGUGGAAUUCCAUGUGUAGCGGUGAAAUGCGUAGAUAUAUGGAGGAACACCGGUGGCGAAAGCGGCUCUCUGGUCUGUAACUGACGCUGAGGCUCGAAAGCGUGGGGAGCGAACAGGAUUAGAUACCCUGGUAGUCCACGCCGUAAACGAUGAGUGCUAGGUGUUGGAUCCUUUCCGGGAUUCAGUGCCGCAGCUAACGCAUUAAGCACUCCGCCUGGGGAGUACGACCGCAAGGUUGAAACUCAAAGGAAUUGACGGGGGCCCGCACAAGCGGUGGAGCAUGUGGUUUAAUUCGAAGCAACGCGAAGAACCUUACCAGGUCUUGACAUCCCGAUGCUAUUUCUAGAGAUAGAAAGUUACUUCGGUACAUCGGUGACAGGUGGUGCAUGGUUGUCGUCAGCUCGUGUCGUGAGAUGUUGGGUUAAGUCCCGCAACGAGCGCAACCCCUAUUGUUAGUUGCCAUCAUUCAGUUGGGCACUCUAGCGAGACUGCCGGUAAUAAACCGGAGGAAGGUGGGGAUGACGUCAAAUCAUCAUGCCCCUUAUGACCUGGGCUACACACGUGCUACAAUGGUUGGUACAACGAGUUGCGAGUCGGUGACGGCAAGCUAAUCUCUUAAAGCCAAUCUCAGUUCGGAUUGUAGGCUGCAACUCGCCUACAUGAAGUCGGAAUCGCUAGUAAUCGCGGAUCAGCACGCCGCGGUGAAUACGUUCCCGGGCCUUGCACACACCGCCCGUC